GGGCUCGCACCGCACCGCCGCUCACACCGCACCGCAGCCCGCUCAGGGCUCGGGGUAACCCCAGCACGCCGCCCCGGGGAGACGGCGAGCGGCUGCUCCGUGAGACACCUGGAGCCCUUCUUCACAAACCGGACAACGGACUCGGUGUGCUGGGAGACUGGACGUCUGUACGUACCUUAAGAGAGAACACAUUCUAUUUAAAGCCCUUCAGACACCAUGCCCAGGGAUCACCCACAGCAUGCUGGAGUUUCUGCCUCAGAAAGCAGGCAGGAACAGCACUCACCUCUACAGGAGAAGCUGCUGUUGAAUGGAAGAGCCACAGAGACAAAACAGCUCUUUGCAUUUCUAAUGCAGAGGCAAACAGAAAGUACCUUGAACAUGUCUGAAAUUACAAUUGCUACUUCUGGACCAGCCAGGAAAGUGAAAAACUAUUUCUUAUUUUGUUUCCUAAGGAAGUUGCACUGUAUUGCUUUGGGCUCUCCCUGAGUUCCUUGAAAUGGAGCCAGAUUCAAGUAAACUCAAUAGAAAGGAGAUACCAGGUUUUCAAAAGUAGGUGGUCAGCAGACCAGAGGGGUCCUGCAAAUAUCCCCAGAUUGGAAGGCUCCCAGCUGAGCUCCCACCAUCAAGGGAAGGCCCCAGUGUCACACACAGGGUGCAUUUGACAUCAGUCUGGGGGCAGGUUUAUUCCAAGCUGCCUUGAGCCUGGCAGUGCUGGCCAUUAGUGACACCCAGCACUGUUCAGACCUCACCAAAAUGUUCAGCUGCUCACAUGGAGGGUGCAAGCAGAAAUCUGGGACCUCAGAUCUGACAGGCCUUUGACCCAAGCCCUGGUAAGGCUGCCCUUUAUGGAGGCUGCCCUGGCCUGGCCCU